AUGGACUUGACAAGUAGCACCGCCAUGUGGUGUGCCAUUGUGGUCCUUCUCGUCAUGUUAUUAGCCACCCAAAAGAUCUCAAGAGCUAGAAGAAUGAGUUGCAUUGAUCCACAGUGUACAAGCCAACAACUUCCACCCGUGGUGAAUGGAGUUGCUCUCCUGAGACUAUUACCUACCCUCCUGAAGGAAGGCCUGCCUUCUAUGGCUAAUGAUCUGUAUGUCAAGUAUGGCAGUGUCUUCACAGUAAGUUCAUUUGGACUCAAGGUAACACUAUUGAUCGGGCCAGAGGUGACGGUGCAUUUCUUUCAAGGUCUGGAGUCAGAUAUUAGCCACGGCAAUCUGCUCGAGUUCACGGUGCCCAUGUUUGGCAAAGCGGUUGGUUAUGGCAGAGAUAAAGCCACGCGAAUUGAACAGAUGCGCUUCCACACUGAAGCACUGAAGGCAUCAGGGCUGAGGAGCCAUGUCCAUCCCAUGCUUCAAGAAGUGGAGGGUUACUUUGCGAAAUGGGGAGAGGAGGGCAUAGUUGAUUUAAAGCUUGAGUUCGAGCAGUUACUCAUGUUGAUCUCGAGCUGGUGUCUACUCGGAAAAGAGGUUCGGGAGAACAUGUUUGAUGAGGUCCAUGCACUUUUUCAUGAGAUCGAAAGCAGUAUGACCUUGAUCAGCUUCUUGUUCCCAUAUCUCCCUACUACAGUAAACCGGCGGCGCGAUAGGGCGCGGAUCAAGCUAACACAAAUACUCUCUGACGUGGUCGAGUCCCGUAAGAGCUCUGGUAGAGUUGAGCAAGACACACUACAAAAGCUAAUCGACUCCGAGUACAAAGAUGGCAACCCUACAACGGUAGCAGAGUUAGUCGGGCUUAUCAUGUCAUUGAUAUUUGCUGGGAAACGCACAAGCUCUCUCGCUAGCACUUGGACCGCAUCUUGUCUACUCAGCCAUCCGGUCUUCUUGAGAGCUGCCAUUGAGGAGCAACAACGAGUCACCAAGAAAUACAAAGGUGGGCUAGAUUACAAUGCUUUUUCAGAGAUGGAUACGCUGCAUAGCUGCAUCAAGGAAGCCCUAAGGAUGCACCCUCCAGCAGCAAUGUUGGUUCGCAGGACACAUAAGCCCUUCACGGUGGAGACAAAGCAAGGCAAACAAUAUGAGAUCCCUCAAAACCACAUCGUGGCAACUCCUACAAUAGUCAACAAUAACAUCCCUUAUAUAUACAGGGACCCUCACGUGUAUGAUCCAUAUCGUUUCGGUCUCGAAAGAAGAGAGGACAAAGUAGGUGGCAAGUUCUCGUACACUUCAUUUAGCGGUGGAAGGCACAUUUGCGUUGGGGAGGCCUAUGCUUACAUGCAACUUAAAGUGAUAUGGAGCCAUUUGUUGAGGAACUUUGAGCUCGAAUUGAUCUCUCCUUUCCCCAAGACAGACUGGAGCAAGAUCUUGCCAGAGCCACAAGGAAAGCUAUUCAUUAGAUAUAAGAGAAAAUAA
rnacentral:rRNA from 1 species